rnacentral:lncRNA from 1 species
UAAUUGAUUUCUGUUUAAUGUUCUUGUCACAUCUCACCUGUCUUUAAUUUAUAUCUUUAUAUAUUAUCUUCGCAUUGGCAAGAACAUUGUCGAAGUGCUCCAAAUCAAAUAUAUCAGCAAAUUCACUGCAAAACAAAACCAAUACUGAUAAGGAAAAUUAUAAUUUGUCAAAGAAAACUCUCUCUUGGCAUUCACAAAUAAGGAAAGAAGUUUAAUCAAUAUUAAUAAAGAAACAUGGCCAGUAUCAAGAUCAAAAGAUUGAAACUUGCUAGACCUAUAAUCACUAAAAAAAACUAUAUUGCUGUAUUUUAAGGAGAAGCUGAAAAACCUCUCUGUAACUAACUAACCUAACAUAACCAAUAAUGAUUGAAUUCCAAGAAACAAUAUCCAAUGCAUUAUAACAAAAUCAAACAAAAACCUCUCUGUUUCAAUUUGGUUACAUUUGGAGUACAAGUUGGUGACGGAAAUUUACCUUGAAAGGCUUUUUGUUGAAUCUGGUGACGAGAACUGAAGCAUGAAUUGUUUUUUCUAAAUGGAGGUUUCUCGUGCAGGCGCAAAAGGGUCGAACACUAUUGAAGGUGAACUUGUUGACCGCGAGGUUAAUU